GAGUUUGAUCCUGGCUCAGGACGAACGCUGGCGGCGCGCCUAACACAUGCAAGUCGAACGAGCGAGAGAGAGCUUGCUUUCUCGAGCGAGUGGCGAACGGGUGAGUAACGCGUGAGGAACCUGCCUCAAAGAGGGGGACAACAGUUGGAAACGACCGCUAAUACCGCAUAAGCCCACAGCUCGGCAUCGAGCAGAGGGAAAAGGAGCAAUCCGCUUUGAGAUGGCCUCGCGUCCGAUUAGCUGGUUGGUGAGGUAACGGCCCACCAAGGCGACGAUCGGUAGCCGGACUGAGAGGUUGAACGGCCACAUUGGGACUGAGACACGGCCCAGACUCCUACGGGAGGCAGCAGUGGGGAAUAUUGCACAAUGGGGGAAACCCUGAUGCAGCGACGCCGCGUGGAGGAAGAAGGUCUUCGGAUUGUAAACUCCUGUUGUUGAGGAAGAUAAUGACGGUACUCAACAAGGAAGUGACGGCUAACUACGUGCCAGCAGCCGCGGUAAAACGUAGGUCACAAGCGUUGUCCGGAAUUACUGGGUGUAAAGGGAGCGCAGGCGGGAAGACAAGUUGGAAGUGAAAUCUAUGGGCUCAACCCAUAAACUGCUUUCAAAACUGUUUUUCUUGAGUAGUGCAGAGGUAGGCGGAAUUCCCGGUGUAGCGGUGGAAUGCGUAGAUAUCGGGAGGAACACCAGUGGCGAAGGCGGCCUACUGGGCACCAACUGACGCUGAGGCUCGAAAGUGUGGGUAGCAAACAGGAUUAGAUACCCUGGUAGUCCACACCGUAAACGAUGAUUACUAGGUGUUGGAGGAUUGACCCCUUCAGUGCCGCAGUUAACACAAUAAGUAAUCCACCUGGGGAGUACGACCGCAAGGUUGAAACUCAAAGGAAUUGACGGGGGCCCGCACAAGCAGUGGAGUAUGUGGUUUAAUUCGACGCAACGCGAAGAACCUUACCAAGUCUUGACAUCCUGCGACGGACAUAGAAAUAUGUCUUUCCUUCGGGACGCAGAGACAGGUGGUGCAUGGUUGUCGUCAGCUCGUGUCGUGAGAUGUUGGGUUAAGUCCCGCAACGAGCGCAACCCUUACUGUCAGUUACUACGCAAGAGGACUCUGGCAGGUCUGCCGUUGACAAAACGGAGGAAGGUGGGGAUGACGUCAAAUCAUCAUGCCCUUUAUGACUUGGGCUACACACGUACUACAAUGGCGUUAAACAAAGAGAAGCAAGACCGCGAGGUGGAGCAAAACUCGGAAACAACGUCCCAGUUCGGACUGCAGGCUGCAACUCGCCUGCACGAAGUCGGAAUUGCUAGUAAUCGUGGAUCAGCAUGCCACGGUGAAUACGUUCCCGGGCCUUGUACACACCGCCCGUC
rnacentral:rRNA from 1 species